rnacentral:rRNA from 1 species
CCUACGGGAGGCAGCAGUGGGGAAUAUUGGGCAAUGGGCGCAAGCCUGACCCAGCAACGCCGCGUGAAGGAAGAAGGCUUUCGGGUUGUAAACUUCUUUUGUCAGGGAAGAGUAGAAGACGGUACCUGAAGAAUAAGCUUCGGCUAACCACGUGCCAGCAGCCGCGGUAAUACGGAGGUGGCAAGCGGUGUCCGGAUUUACUGGGUGUAAAGGGCGUGUAGCCGGUUUGACAAGUCAGAUGUGAAAUCCUGCGGCUUAACCGCAGAACUGCAUUUGAAACUGUUAAUCUUGAGUACUGGAGAGGCAGGCGGAAUUCCUGGUGUAGCGGUGAAAUGCGUAGAUAUUAGGAGGAACACC